UACGUAGGGGGCAAGCGUUGUCCGGAUUUAUUGGGCGUAAAGAGCGUGUAGGCGGUCAGGUAGGUCCGUUGUGAAAACUCGAGGCUCAACCUCGAGACGCCGGUUGAAACCAUCUGGCUAGAGUCCGGAAGAGGAGAGUGGAAUUCCUGGUGUAGCGGUGAAAUGCGCAGAUAUCAGGAAGAACACCCGCGGCUAAGGCGGCUCUCUAGUACGGUACUGACGCUGAGACGCGAAAGCGUGGGGAGCGAACAGG
rnacentral:rRNA from 1 species